UGGACAAGAAACCAAAUAGAUUGUCUCAAACAGCAGUUAUCAAACAAAUAUAUAAUUGUGAGCACUAUAUUAGAAAAAGUUGCUUACCCUGGGUUUCCAAAGCACUAUAUUAGAAACCAAAUAGAUUGCCUCAAGCCUAUGCUGAAUGCCUUCUCCAAGCGUCUAACCAAGGAAGUAUAUUGCAAUGGUCUUUGCCUUAUACAAAUUCUAACAUUAGUCAGCUUUAAAUUAUCAACUCCUACUUUCCCGAAACACAACUUUGGAAAAAAUAUUUGGAACUCCUCAGCUACCUGAAAUAACAGUAUUGCAACAAAAUGUUCAGAUUGAUUUUCUUCGAUAAAACAUAAGGUUUUAAAACAAACAGAAAAUGAGAAAACAAUUGGAAACAGACUAUUAAAUGACACUUAGACAUGGAUCAUAAGUCUUGAAUUUUUACAAUAUUCGGAACCAACAAGAACAAUGUUUACAAUUCAAGUAACAAAACAAAACAAAAGGAUGCAGCUGGGACCAUGUUACCAAGUGAAAAGCAUGUGAAUAAAUGUCAUGAUAGAUUCAAGGCAUCAAUAUUAUUUAUUGAACACAAUUGUAAAACAAAUCGUCAUCUUCUUACACUUUGUUAUGAGGGAAAAACAAUGCAACUUCAGCUAUAGUAAUCAACUCUUCCCUCAACUCAUUUCAAAUCAAAUAUUGAAAUUAUCAUUAUGUUAAAGCCUCAAACUUAAUUAUGUAUGAAGUAAACUAUAGUUAUAUGACUCAGCUUUAUUACUUGGAAAAUCCAAAGACAAUAACUGUAUAACAAAGCGUCGUACUCUCCUGAUUAUCAACAAGAAAAGCUAAAACUUCAUUCAAAGUACUUACAGAAGUUAAUAUGAUGAAUCUUCAAAGCUCUCCUUAACAACAAUUUUACUUAAUUUUUUGCUAUAAAUGCUUGAAUGGGUGCUUAUGAUUUGAACAUCUACAAAAUUUAAU
rnacentral:lncRNA from 1 species